rnacentral:lncRNA from 1 species
GGUUGCUUUAUGGACUUCCAACUUACCAAGCUACCCCCUAAGAUCACACAGAAACCAGUGACAGAUCUGCAAAUAUCAGGGCAAGCUGCGCAGUCACUGUCUGAAAAGGCAUGUACAGAAAAAUCAGGAGAGUUAGAAUAGAAAAGCCCCAAAUCCAUAGUGCCCUUGAGAUACCUAAGAACAUGCAGGAGAGCAGACAUGUGAGGUAUUCUAGGAGACUGCAAGAACUGGCUCAAAUGUUGUACGGCAAAGCAAACAUCAGGUCUGGUAUGGGUCAAAAAUAGAAGCUUCCCAAUUAGGCUUCUAUAUUUGUCUGGAGAAGGGAACAUAUCACCAGAAUUAGCAUGUAGUUUGGUAGUAAGGUCUAAAGGACAAGUGACAGGAGAAACUGCAGAACAGUCAAAUUGCUGUAACAAGUCAGAGACAAAUUUCUUUUGAUUAAGAAGUACCCCACCAGGAACAGUAGACACUUCAAUUCCCAGAAAAUAAUGUAAAGACCCCAGGUCUUUAAUUCUAAACUGAUCAUCCAAGAAAUGUUUUAGGGCAGAAAUUUCAGUUGUAUCAUCUCCAGUGAUAAUGAUAUCAUCCACAUAUACUGCCAGCAGCACAAGACAGCCAGGCUGGCCCUUUAUAAACAAAGAGUAAUCAUUCAGAGAGUGGCUAUAACCUCUGGAGUAUAGAGAUUGAGACAAUUUGGCAUACCAUUGUCUUGAAGCAUGUUUUAACCCAUAGAGUGACUUCUUCAAUUUGCACACAAAGGGAGUGGAAGCAGAAGAGACAGUAGGAGCAGAAAUGUUCAAACCUGGAGGGAGCUUCAUAUAAACUUCCUCAUCUAGGUCAUCAUGCAAGAAGGCAAUGUUGACAUCAAGUUGAAAAAGAUCCCAAUGUUUUUUAACAGCUACAACAAUCAAACAUUUGACAGUAGACAUCUUAAUCACAGGGGAAAAUGUUUCAGUGAAAUCAACCCCCUCAAUCUGGGUGUCUCCUCUAAUAACAAGCCUAGUUUUAUACCUUUCAACACUGCCAUCAGCUUUAUAUUUUAUCUUAUAGACCCACUUGCAACCUAUGGGUUUCUUACCAGGAGAAAGGGGAACAACAUCCCAAGUGUGGUUGGCAUCUAAUGCAUCAAACUCUUUUCUCAUGGCAUCCUGCCAAGCUGGAGCUGUGGCAGCUUGAGAAUAAUAAAGAGGUUCAGAUUCCAGACUGGAAGUAGAGGAAGAUUUCUCAUGGUAUCCUGCCAAGCUGGAAGUGUGGCAGCUUGAGAAUAAUAAAGAGGUUCAGAUUCUAGACUGGAAGUAGAGGAAGAAGAUCCAGAAAAAGAAGGUAGCUGACACACAUAGUCUUUGGGAUAAGAAGGAGUGGUGUGUUGCCUUCCAGAUCUUCUGUUGAUAUGAGGUUGUGUAGAGGAAGAAAUAGCAGGAUGUGGAAUAUUAGGAUUGAAGGAUGCAGAAGGAAGAGGUACAAAAGGUGUGGAGUCAGAAGCAAAAGGAGGAGCAUAGCUGGAACCAGAAGGAAAAAAUUCAGAAUGAGAGGAAACAGGUGAACAAGGUGGGACAGAAAUGUGUGUCCAGAAUUUUGGUGAUCAGAAAAAGGUACAAUAGGAGGAGGAAAAGAAAAUGUGGAAGAACCAGAGGUAAUAUCAGAACUAGUUGCAAAAGGAAAAUAUGUCCCAUGAAACACAACAUCCCUGGACACAAAGCAUCUUUUGGAAGCUAGAUCAUACAACUUGUAACCCUUUUUGGCAAAAGAAUAUCCUAGAAAAACACAUGAAAGUGCUCUAGGUUUUAGUUUAUCUCUCUGUGGAAUGGAUACAGUAGCAUAAGCAAGACAACCAAAUGCCCUCAAAUGUGAGUAAUUGGGAGUCUUACCAUAUAGCACUUCAUAAGGAGAUUUGUUUUGAAGAAUCCUGGAGGGUAUCCUAUUAAGCAGGUAUGUGGCAGUUAAUAGACAGUCUCCCGGAUUUGUUUUGAAGAAUUCUGGAUGGAAUCCUAUUAAGCAGGUAUGUGGCAGUUAAUAAACAGUCCCCCCAAAAUGAUACAGGCAGUUUGGACUGAAAAAGCAAAGCUCUACAAGCUUCAAGAAGUGUUCUGUGUUUCCUUUCAACAACACCAUUUUGUUAAGGAGUGUGGGGAUAGGUAGUUUGAUGAAUAAUAACCUGUUGGUUGAAGAAAGAAGCCCCAUCAAGGCUGGACCCUAAUUCCAAGGCAUUGUCACUUCUUAUAGUUUGAACAGUAGCACCAAUCUGAG